AGUGCGAAGCACAAUCAAUUUAUGGUGCCAACAAAAGCUUCAUCAAUGGAGGACAAGUAUCAAUCUCAAAAGCUUCGCACUAUGUUCAUCAAGAUAGUGCGAAGCACAAUCAAUUUAUGGUGCCAACAAAAGCUUCACCUAUAAAGCUUCAACACUAAAGCUUCACCUAUAAAGCUUCAACCCCAAAGCUUCACCUAUAAAGCUUCAACACAAAGCUUCACCUAUAAAGUUUCAACCCCAAAGCUUCACCUAUAAAGCUUCAACACAAAGCUUCACCUAUAAAGCUUCAACACCAAAGCUUCACCUAUAAAGCUUCAAACACAAAGCUUCACCUAUCAAGCUUCAACCCCAAAGCUUCACCUAUAAAGCUUCAACACAAAGCUUCACCUAUAAAGCUUCAACACCAAAGCUUCACCUAUAAAGCUUCAAACACAAAGCUUCACCUAUCAAGCUUCAACCCCAAAGCUUCACCUAUAAAGCUUCAAACACAAAGCUUCACCUAUAAAGCUUCAACACCAAAGUUUCACCUAUAAAGCUU
rnacentral:lncRNA from 1 species